rnacentral:rRNA from 1 species
GCCAGUGGUGAACUCCACAUACGCAUCCUUUGCUGAGGAUACGGUUAACGGAGCGAAAGCGACGUUCAACCUCAAAAGAAGCAGAGGGGGCUUAGUGGUGGGGUGACUGCGUACCUUUUGUAUAAUGGGUCAGCGACUUAUAUUCUGUAGCAAGGUUAACCGAAUAGGGGAGCCGGAGGGAAACCGAGUCUUAACCGGGCGUUAAGUUGCAGGGUAUAGACCCGAAACCCGGUGAUCUAGCCAUGGGCAGGUUGAAGGUUGGGUAACACUAACUGGAGGACCGAACCGACUAAUGUUGAAAAAUUAGCGGAUGACCUGUGGCUGGGGGUGAAAGGCCAAUCAAACCGGGAGAUAGCUGGUUCUCCCCGAAAGCUAUUUAGGUAGCGCCUCGUGAAUUCAUCUCCGGGGGUAGAGCACUGUUUCGGCUAGGGGGUCAUCCCGACUUACCAACCCGAUGCAAACUGCGAAUACCGGAGAAUGUUAUCACGGGAGACACACGGCGGGUGCUAACGUCCGUCGUGAAGAGGGAAACAACCCAGACCGCCAGCUAAGGUCCCAAAGUCAUGGUUAAGUGGGAAACGAUGUGGGAAGGCCCAGACAGCCAGGAUGUUGGCUUAGAAGCAGCCAUCAUUUAAAGAAAGCGUAAUAGCUCACUGGUCGAGUCGGCCUGCGCGGAAGAUGUAACGGGGCUAAACCAUGCACCGAAGCUGCGGCAGCGACACUAUGUGUUGUUGGGUAGGGGAGCGUUCUGUAAGCCUGCGAAGGUGUCUCGUGAGGGAUGCUGGAGGUAUCAGAAGUGCGAAUGCUGACAUAAGUAACGAUAAUGCGGGUGAAAAACCCGCACGCCGGAAGACCAAGGGUUCCUGUCCAACGUUAAUCGGGGCAGGGUGAGUCGACCCCUAAGGCGAGGCCGAAAGGCGUAGUCGAUGGGAAACAGGUUAAUAUUCCUGUACUUGGUGUUACUGCGAAGGGGGGACGGAGAAGGCUAUGUUGGCCGGGCGACGGUUGUCCCGGUUUAAGCGUGUAGGUGUGUGUUCCAGGUAAAUCCGGUUCACUUUAACACUGAGGCGUGAUGACGAGGCACUACGGUGCUGAAGCAACAAAUGCCCUGCUUCCAGGAAAAGCCUCUAAGCAUCAGGUAACAUCAAAUCGUACCCCAAACCGACACAGGUGGUCAGGUAGAGAAUACCAAGGCGCUUGAGAGAACUCGGGUGAAGGAACUAGGCAAAAUGGUGCCGUAACUUCGGGAGAAGGCACGCUGAUAUGUAGGUGAAGUGGUUUACCCAUGGAGCUGAAAUCAGUCGAAGAUACCAGCUGGCUGCAACUGUUUAUUAAAAACACAGCACUGUGCAAACACGAAAGUGGACGUAUACGGUGUGACGCCUGCCCGGUGCCGGAAGGUUAAUUGAUGGGGUUAUCCGUAAGGAGAAGCUCUUGAUCGAAGCCCCGGUAAACGGCGGCCGUAACUAUAACGGUCCUAAGGUAGCGAAAUUCCUUGUCGGGUAAGUUCCGACCUGCACGAAUGGCGUAAUGAUGGCCAGGCUGUCUCCACCCGAGACUCAGUGAAAUUGAACUCGCUGUGAAGAUGCAGUGUACCCGCGGCAAGACGGAAAGACCCCGUGAACCUUUACUAUAGCUUGACACUGAACACUGGUCCUUGAUGUGCAGGAUAGGUGGGAGGCUUUGAAGCGCGGACGCCAGUUCGUGUGGAGCCAUCCUUGAAAUACCACCCUUUAAUGGCUGGUGUUCUAACGUAGACCCGUGAUCCGGGUUGCGGACAGUGUCUGGUGGGUAGUUUGACUGGGGCGGUCUCCUCCUAAAGAGUAACGGAGGAGCACGAAGGUUAGCUAAUCCUGGUCGGACAUCAGGAGGUUAGUGCAAAGGCAUAAGCUAGCUUGACUGCGAGCGUGACGGCGCGAGCAGGUGCGAAAGCAGGUC